rnacentral:rRNA from 1 species
UGGGGAAUAUUGCACAAUGGGCGCAAGCCUGAUGCAGCCAUGCCGCGUGUAUGAAGAAGGCCUUCGGGUUGUAAAGUACUUUCAGCGGGGAGGAAGGGAGUAAAGUUAAUACCUUUGCUCAUUGACGUUACCCGCAGAAGAAGCACCGGCUAACUCCGUGCCAGCAGCCGCGGUAAUACGGAGGGUGCAAGCGUUAAUCGGAAUUACUGGGCGUAAAGCGCACGCAGGCGGUUUGUUAAGUCAGAUGUGAAAUCCCCGGGCUCAACCUGGGAACUGCAUCUGAUACUGGCAGGCUUGAGUCUCGUAGAGGGGGGUAGAAUUCCGGGUGUAGCGGUGAAAUGCGUAGAGAUCUGAAGGAAUACCGGUGGCGAAGGCGGCCCCCUGGACGAAGACUGACGCUCAGGUGCGAAAGCGUGGGGAGCAAACAGG